rnacentral:rRNA from 1 species
AUUCCCGCGUAUGUACUUGUUAAGCCUUUAAGAAAGAAGUUUAUAACUUAAGGAAUUAUAACAAAGAAGUAACACAUAAUAAGGUUGCCUUAUUUAGUGUGUAUCAAUCGAGUUUCUGACCUAUCAGCUUUUGAUGUUAGGGUAUUGGCCUAACAUGGCUAUGACGGGUAACGGGGAAUUAGAGUUCGAUUCCGGAGAGGGAGCCUGAGAAAUAGCUACCACAUCUAAGGAAGGCAGCAGGCGCGUAAAUUACCCAAUUCUAAAGAAGAGAGGUAGUGACAAGAAAUAACAAUACAAGGCCAUUUCAUGGUUUUGUAAUUGGAAUGAUGGGAAUUUAAAACCUUCCCAAAAUUCAAUUGGAGGGCAAGUCUGGUGCCAGCAGCCGCGGUAAUUCCAGCUCCAAUAGCGUAUAUUAAAAUUGUUGCAGUUAAAACGCUCGUAGUUGAAUUUCAAAGAAUCAAUAUUUUAAGUAAUACUUUUGCUAUAAGAUGCUUAGACAAUACAACGUAUCUGUUCUUUGCAUUCCUUAUGCAAAAUGUGUUCUUAUUAUAAAAAGGAUUCUUUUUAAAAUCUCUUUUGCUAUUUUUUAGUAUUGGAGAUUUUGUUACUUUGAGUAAAUUAGAGUGUUCAAAGCAAACAGUUAAAGCAUUUUACUGCGUUUGAAUACUACAGCAUGGAAUAACAAAAUUGAACAAGUCAGAAUUCUGUUCCUUUUUCCUAUUUUGGCU